GCCACCUCUUCGAUCGUCAUGUGAUCCUGAUAGAAAACUCGAUUUGCGGGCUAAAUUUUCGCGCUCUCCAGAAAUUGAAUUUUUGAACAGGAGAAUAUAUGUCAUAAGGAGGUGGCACGCAGGAUCGUGCCACCUCUUCGAUCGUCAUGUGAUCCUGAUAGAAAACUUGAUUUGCGGGCUAAAUUUUCGCGCUCUCCAGAAAUUGAAUUUUUGAACAGGAGAAUAUAUGUCAUAAGGAGGUGGCACGCAAGAUCGUGCCACCUCUUCGAUCGUCAUGUGAUCCUGAUAGAAAACUUGAUUUGCGGGCUAAAUUUUCGCGCUCUCCAGAAAUUGAAUUUUUGAACAGGAGAAUAUAUGUCAUAAGGAGGUGGCACGCAAGAUCGUGCCACCUCUUCGAUCGUCAUGUGAUCCUGAUAGAAAACUUGAUUUGCGGGCUAAAUUUUCGCGCUCUCCAGAAAUUGAAUUUUUG